rnacentral:rRNA from 1 species
AACGAACGCUGGCGGCAGGCCUAACACAUGCAAGUCGAGCGAGGACUUCGGUCCUAGCGGCGGACGGGUGAGUAACGCGUGGGAACGUGCCCCUUGGUACGGAAUAGCCCCGGGAAACUGGGAGUAAUACCGUAUGAGCUCUACGGAGGAAAGAUUUAUCGCCAAGGGAUCGGCCCGCGUUGGAUUAGGUAGUUGGUGGGGUAAUGGCCUACCAAGCCGACGAUCCAUAGCUGGUUUGAGAGGAUGAUCAGCCACACUGGGACUGAGACACGGCCCAGACUCCUACGGGAGGCAGCAGUGGGGAAUCUUAGACAAUGGGCGCAAGCCUGAUCUAGCCAUGCCGCGUGGGCGAUGAAGGCCUUAGGGUUGUAAAGCUCUUUCAGCUGGGAAGAUAAUGACUGUACCAGCAGAAGAAGCCCCGGCUAACUCCGUGCCAGCCGCCGCCGUAA